rnacentral:rRNA from 1 species
AGAGUUUGAUCCUGGCUCAGAGCGAACGCUGGCGGCAGCCUAACACAUGCAAGUCGAGCGGUCGUAGCAAUACGGCAGCGGCAGACGGGAGAGUAACACGUGGGAACGUACCCUUUGGUUCGGAACAACCCAGGGAAACUUGGGCUAAUACCGGAUACGCCCUUACGGGGAAAGAUUUAUCGCCGAAGGAUCGGCCCGCG